rnacentral:rRNA from 1 species
GGUUAAGCGACUAAGCGUACACGGUGGAUGCCCUGGCAGUCAGAGGCGAUGAAGGACGUGCUAAUCUGCGAAAAGCGUCGGUAAGGUGAUAUGAACCGUUACAGCCGGCGAUGUCCGAAUGGGGAAACCCAGUGUGAUUCGUCACACUAUCGUUAACUGAAUACAUAGGUUAACGAGGCGAACCGGGGGAACUGAAACAUCUAAGUACCCCGAGGAAAAGAAAUCAACCGAGAUUCCCCCAGUAGCGGCGAGCGAACGGGGAGCAGCCCAGAGUCUGAAUCAGCUUGUGUGUUAGUGGAACGGUCUGGAAAGUCCGACGGUACAGGGUGAUAGUCCCGUACACCAAAAUGCACAGGCUGUGAACUCGAAGAGUAGGGCGGGACACGUGGUAUCCUGUCUGAAUAUGGGGGGACCAUCCUCCAAGGCUAAAUACUCCUGAACCGAUAGUGAACCAGUACCGUGAGGGAAAGGCGAAAAGAACCCCGGCGAGGGGAGUGAAAAAGAACCUGAAACCGUGUACGUACAAGCAGUGGGAGCACCUUCGGGUGUGACUGCGUACCUUUUGUAUAAUGGGUCAGCGACUUAUAUUCUGUAGCAAGGUUAACCGUAUAGGGGAGCCGCAGGGAAACCGAGUCUUAACUGGGCGUUAAGUUGCAGGGUAUAGACCCGAAACCCGGUGAUCUAGCCAUGGGCAGGUUGAAGGUUGGGUAACACUAACUGGAGGACCGAACCGACUAAUGUUGAAAAAUUAGCGGAUGACUUGUGGCUGGGGGUGAAAGGCCAAUCAAACCGGGAGAUAGCUGGUUCUCCCCGAAAGCUAUUUAGGUAGCGCCUCGUGAACUCAUCUUCGGGGGUAGAGCACUGUUUCGGCUAGGGGGUCAUCCCGACUUACCAACCCGAUGCAAACUACGAAUACCGAAGAAUGUUAUCACGGGAGACACACGGCGGGUGCUAACGUCCGUCGUGAAGAGGGAAACAACCCAGACCGCCAGCUAAGGUCCCAAAGUCACAGUUAAGUGGGAAACGAUGUGGGAAGGCACAGACAGCCAGGAUGUUGGCUUAGAAGCAGCCAUCAUUUAAAGAAAGCGUAAUAGCUCACUGGUCGAGUCGGCCUGCGCGGAAGAUGUAACGGGGCUAAACUGUGCACCGAAGCUGCGGCAGCGACACUAUGUGUUGUUGGGUAGGGGAGCGUUCUGUAAGCCUGCGAAGGUGGCCUGUGAGGGUUGCUGGAGGUAUCAGAAGUGCGAAUGCUGACAUAAGUAACGAUAAUGCGGGUGAAAAGCCCGCACGCCGGAAGACCAAGGGUUCCUGUCCAACGUUAAUCGGGGCAGGGUGAGUCGACCCCUAAGGCGAGGCCGAAAGGCGUAGUCGAUGGGAAACAGGUUAAUAUUCCUGUACUUGGUGUUACUGCGAAGGGGGGACGGAGAAGGCUAUGUUAGCCGGGCGACGGUUGUCCCGGUUUAAGCAUGUAGGCGGAGGUUCCAGGUAAAUCCGGUACCUUUUUAACGCUGAGGUGUGAUGACGAGGCACUACGGUGCUGAAGUAACAAAUGCCCUGCUUCCAGGAAAAGCCUCUAAGCAUCAGGUAACAUUGAAUCGUACCCCAAACCGACACAGGUGGUCAGGUAGAGAAUACCAAGGCGCUUGAGAGAACUCGGGUGAAGGAACUAGGCAAAAUGGUGCCGUAACUUCGGGAGAAGGCACGCUGAUAUGUAGGUGAAGCCCCUGCGGGUGGAGCUGAAAUCAGUCGAAGAUACCAGCUGGCUGCAACUGUUUAUUAAAAACACAGCACUGUGCAAACACGAAAGUGGACGUAUACGGUGUGACGCCUGCCCGGUGCCGGAAGGUUAAUUGAUGGGGUUAUCCGUAAGGAGAAGCUCUUGAUCGAAGCCCCGGUAAACGGCGGCCGUAACUAUAACGGUCCUAAGGUAGCGAAAUUCCUUGUCGGGUAAGUUCCGACCUGCACGAAUGGCGUAAUGAUGGCCAGGCUGUCUCCACCCGAGACUCAGUGAAAUUGAACUCGCUGUGAAGAUGCAGUGUACCCGCGGCAAGACGGAAAGACCCCGUGAACCUUUACUAUAGCUUGACACUGAACAUUGAGCCUUGAUGUGUAGGAUAGGUGGGAGGCUUUGAAGCGUGGACGCCAGUCUGCGUGGAGCCAACCUUGAAAUACCACCCUUUAAUGUUUGAUGUUCUAACGUUGGCCCCUGACCGGGGUUGCGGACAGUGUCUGGUGGGUAGUUUGACUGGGGCGGUCUCCUCCCAAAGAGUAACGGAGGAGCACGAAGGUUAGCUAAUCCUGGUCGGACAUCAGGAGGUUAGUGCAAUGGCAUAAGCUAGCUUGACUGCGAGCGUGACGGCGCGAGCAGGUGCGAAAGCAGGUCAUAGUGAUCCGGUGGUUCUGAAUGGAAGGGCCAUCGCUCAACGGAUAAAAGGUACUCCGGGGAUAACAGGCUGAUACCGCCCAAGAGUUCAUAUCGACGGCGGUGUUUGGCACCUCGAUGUCGGCUCAUCACAUCCUGGGGCUGAAGUAGGUCCCAAGGGUAUGGCUGUUCGCCAUUUAAAGUGGUACGCGAGCUGGGUUUAGAACGUCGUGAGACAGUUCGGUCCCUAUCUGCCGUGGGCGCUGGAGAAUUGAGGGGGGCUGCUCCUAGUACGAGAGGACCGGAGUGGACGCAUCACUGGUGUUCGGGUUGUCAUGCCAAUGGCAUUGCCCGGUAGCUAAAUGCGGAAGAGAUAAGUGCUGAAAGCAUCUAAGCACGAAACUUGCCCCGAGAUGAGUUCUCCCUGAGACUUUAAGUCUCCUGAAGGAACGUUAAAGACGAUGACGUUGAUAGGUCGGGUGUGUAAGCGUAGCGAUACGUUGAGCUAACCGAUACUAAUGAACCGUGAGGCUUAACCUU